AUUGAACGCUGGCGGCAGGCCUAACACAUGCAAGUCGAGCGGAUGAAGGGAGCUUGCUCCUGGAUUCAGCGGCGGACGGGUGUGUAAUGCCUAGGAAUCUGCCUGGUAGUGGGGGAUAACGUCCGGAAACGGGCGCUAAUACCGCAUACGUCCUGAGGGAGAAAGUGGGGGAUCUUCGGACCUCACGCUAUCAGAUGAGCCUAGGUCGGAUUAGCUAGUUGGUGGGGUAAAGUCCUACCAAGGCGACGAUCCGUAACUGGUCUGAGAGGAUGAUCAGUCACACUGGAACUGAGACACGGUCCAGACUCCUACGGGAGGCAGCAGUGGGGAAUAUUGGACAAUGGGCGAAAGCCUGAUCCAGCAAUGCCGCGUGUGUGAAGAAGGUCUUCGGAUUGUAAAGCACUUUAAGUUGGGAGGAAGGGCAGUAAGUUAAUACCUUGCUGUUUUGACGUUACCAACAGAAUAAGCACCGGCUAACUUCGUG
rnacentral:rRNA from 1 species